rnacentral:misc_RNA from 1 species
GAAUCAAAUUUUAAAUUAAAUUAAAACCUUUGCUUGGGUUUUUAAAAAGAAGUUAAAUUAUUAUUUUAUACCAUAGUACAUAUAAUGUCAAAUGAUUUUAAAUCUUAUCAUAUAAUUUAACGAGAUUCACGAUAUGACGUUUAUACUUAAUAAAUAUGGAUCAAAAUAUUCGGCAAUCUGGAAUUGUAAAGUUUUAUAUGAUAAAAAUUUUGCAGUUUUUGCAUUUUCUCGUAGUUUUUGGUUUUUUAAUAGCUGGUAUCAAAGAGUUCGUUGAAAAUCCUCCUUUAUUUGAUGCAUACGGUGAUGCAUUUAUUAAAAACAAGUUACCUGAAGGAAUAUUUGAGAAUGAUCCAAGACUAACUCAAUCAGCAAACAUGAGAUUACUUGAUUUACCAUUAUUGGUGAUUAUUGUGUGUUACGUUUGUAUUUGUGUUUGGUUGAAGUUUAAUGGCUUAGCAUGGCUACUCACACUCUUGAUGUUUUUUGCUGUAUUUGUGUUUUGGUUUGUAAAUGUCUCAGCACACAAAUAUUUUGAUUGGAGAUAUUAUUCAACACGCAUUGUUGGUUUAGAAUUACAAAUAGCUGUAAUAGGAUUGGUUGGUACAAGUGUUUUUAUGGUAUUGGUGUGGAAAAGAAAAAAACUGCCAUUCAAAUUCAAAUCUACUAUUCCUAUUCGCCAUUUGGGUCCAGUUCAUGUGAUAUUUAACUUUAUUGCUGUAUACUUUAUAAUCUUUACAUCAAUGCUAAUGUGGUUUACAAAAAUGUAUAUUUCAUGGGCUUGUUUUAAAAGAUAUAGUGAUACUAUGCAAAUUUGUCAAAUUACUAAUCAGGUGCAAUGCUAUUCUUGUGAAACAUGUUCAUUUGAUGGUAUUAAAACUUGUUAUAACAAUUUGACAAGAACUGAUUUAUUCACGUGUAACAUGGUCCAAAAUCUUAAGUCUGCAUAUAAGUCCAUUCUAUAGGGAGCUUUCUGCAUAUUCAACUACAAUAUGAGUGCAGCCGAAUUUCUCACAACGUUUGCAUACAUUGGUGGACUUUGUGUCUUCCUUAGUACUUUCAUCCGAAUUGUCGGUCAUUACAUUUUUCGAGCGGUAUUUAUUAUCCACGGUAUUCUUCUUGUAGCGUUUAAC